UUGCCCUACGGGGGGCAGCAGUGGGGAAUAUUGCACAAUGGGGGGAACCCUGAUGCAGCGACGCCGCGUGAAGGAAGAAGUAUUUCGGUAUGUAAACUUCUAUCAGCAGGGAAGAAAAAGGACGGUACCUGACUAAGAAGCCCCGGCUAACUACGUGCCAGCAGCCGCGGUAAUACGUAGGGGGCGAGCGUUAUCCGGAUUUAUUGGGUUUAAAGGGUGCGCAGGCGGUCUGUUAAGUCAGCGGUCAAAGCCCGGGGCUCAACCCCGGCCCGCCGUUGAAACUGGCAGUCUCGCGUUGGAGAGAA
rnacentral:rRNA from 1 species